rnacentral:rRNA from 1 species
GGCCAUGUUAGUUAAUAGAUCCUCAUUUGCUGGUUCAAUUCGCAAUGAUCUUUAUCGAUUGUUGCAUCAAUUGCCAGAACGUUUACUUUGAGAAAAUUAGAGUGCUAAAAGCAGGCUCACGCCUAUAUAUAUAUUGCAUGGAAUAAUGAAAUAAGAUCUCGAUUUUAUUUCGUUGGUUUUAGAAAUUGAGAUAAUGAUUAAUAGGAUCAGAGGGGGGCGUACGUACUGUAGUGUGAGAGGUGAAAUUCUUGGAUCGCUACAGGACGAACAGCAGCGAAGGCGUUCGCCAAGAAUGUUUUCAUUAAUCAAGAACGAAAGUUUGAGGUUCGAAGACGAUUAGAUACCGUCCUAGUUCAAACCAUAAACGUUGCCAACUGUCUUUUAGAUGCGGUUAUUUUUUAUGACUCAUCUGGUGGAUCUCGAGAAAUCUAAGUUUUUAGGUUCCGGGGGAAGUAUGGUUGCAAAGCUGAAACUUAAAAGAAUUGACGGAAGGACACACAAGAAGUGGAGCCUGUGGCCUAAUUUGACUCAACACGGGAAAUCUUACUCGGCCAGGACACUUUUAGGAUUGACAGAUUGAGAGCUCUUUCUUGAUUAGGUGGGUGGUGGUGCAUGGUCGUUCGUAGUUCGUGGAGCGAUUUGUCUGAUUAAUUUCGAUAACGAACGAGACUCCGGCUUACUAAAUAGUCUAAAGUUCGAAGGGACUUUCAUUUUAGACUUCUUAGCAGGAUAAGUGG